rnacentral:misc_RNA from 1 species
AUACACUCUCUCUUCUUCAAAUUUCCCAAAACGUUGGCGUUUGUAUCACCCCCCUCAUUCAAAUCAAACGCUUCAUUCAAAUUUAAGUUAAACCCAGUAUUCAAACCAAGCGCCUCCUUCACGCUACAAUUUCCAUUCAAACUCCCAAUAACAGACCCAUUUUUUCUCAAAGUCUCCACAGCUCCACUCCCUUUCUCCAGAGCUUCAUUCAAAUCA